rnacentral:rRNA from 1 species
UACGUAGGGGGCAAGCGUUGUCCGGAAUCAUUGGGCGUAAAGGGCGCGCAGGCGGCGGACCAAGUCAGGCGUGAAAGCCCCGGGCUUAACCUGGGAGGUGCGUCUGGGACUGGUACGCUAGAGUUCGGGAGAGGAGAGUGGAAUUCCCAGUGUAGAGGUGAAAUUCGUAGAUAUUGGGAAGAACACCGGUGGCGAAGGCGGCUCUCUGGACCGAGACUGACGCUGAGGCGCGAAAGCGUGGGGAGCAGACAGG